rnacentral:misc_RNA from 1 species
GGGGUCUUACUGAUGCUUUUGCAGAUUUGUUAUCUAAAUCUUUAUCUUGUGCUUGCAUUCCUUCAGUAUACACCUGCCAUUGAUAUUUGGAGUAUCGGCUGCAUUUUUGCGGAGGUACUGACAGGAAAACCGUUGUUCCCGGGAAAAAGUGUUGUUCAUCAGUUAGAUUUGAUGACUGAUCUUCUUGGGACGCCAUCAGCUGAUUCCAUAUCUGGGGUUCGUAAUGAGAAGGCACGAAAGUAUUUGACAAGCAUGCGGAAAAAGAAUCCAGUUCCUUUUACAGAGAAAUUUCCAGGUGCAGAUCCUCUGGUGCUCCGAUUGUUGCAGAGGUUGUUAGCAUUUGAUCCAAAGGAUCGACCUACUGCUGAAGAGGCUUUAUCCGAUCCUUAUUUCAAAGGACUGGCCAAGAUUGAGAGGGAACCUUCUAGUCAACCAAUCUCGAAGCUGGAGUUUGAGUUUGAGCGACGAAGGGUCACAAAGGAUGACAUUCGUGAACUAAUAUUUAGGGAGAUACUUGAGUAUCAUCCUCAACUUCUGAAGGACUACAUGGCUGGAAAUAGUGGUGCA